rnacentral:rRNA from 1 species
UAAACGUCCCAGUUCGGACUGCGGCCUGCAACCCGGCCGCACGAAGCUGGAAUCGCUAGUAAUCGCGGAUCAGAAUGCCGCGGUGAAUACGUUCCCGGGUCUUGUACACACCGCCCGUCACACCAUGGGAGUCAGCAACGCCCGAAGUCAGUGACCCAACCUUCAAGGAGGGAGCUGCCGAAGGCGGGGCAGGUAACUGGGGUGAAGUCGUAACAAGGUACC